AACGCAUAUUGCGCCCUUUGGCAUUCCGAGGGGCAUGCCUGUUCGAGCGUCAUGAUCAAAACUCUCAAGCCUUGGCUUUUGGGGUAUUGGGUUUUCGCCUCUAUCUCUGUAUAGGUAGUGGUGUACCUGAAAAUUAGUGGUUGAUACCUCAUAGACUCUAAGUGAAGCAGACUGACUCGCUUUUGGAGAACCUCUGUGGUCCAACCAACAAAAUGAACUCAAGUUUGACCUCGGAUCAGGUAGGGAUACCCGCUGAACUUAA
rnacentral:misc_RNA from 1 species